AAUGAACGUUGGCGGCGUGGAUUAGGCAUGCAAGUCGAGCGAGAACCUGUUGAAUGAUCCUUCGGGUGAAUGAUUCAGGGGACAGCGGCAAACGGCGUAGUUAGGCGUCGAUACGUACCCCUCGGUCGGGGAUAGCCACGGGAAACUGUGGGUAAUACCCGAUGAUCUCUGCGGAGCAAAGGUGUGAUUCCGCCGAGGGAGCGGUUGACGUGAUAUUAGCUUGAUGGUGGGGUAACGGCCUACCAUGGCGAUGAUGUCUAGGGGGUGUGAGAGCAUGGCCCCCACGACCGGAACUGAGACACUGUCCGGACACCUACGGGUGGCUGCAGUCGAGAAUCUUCCGCAAUGGGCGCAAGCCUGACGGAGCGACGCCGCGUGCAGGAUGAAGGCCCUUGGGUUGUAAACUGCUGUCAGAGGGGAUGAAAUCAUUGGGGGUUAUCCCCCUUUGUUGACAGAGCCUCAAAGGAAGCACGGGCUAAGUACG
rnacentral:rRNA from 1 species